GAUAUAAGAUGGGCAUGCGUCCAAUUAGUUAGUUGGCGGGGUAACGGCUCACCAAGACGAUGAUUGGUAGGGGAACUGAGAGGUCAAUCCCCCACACUGGCACUGAGAUACGGGCCAGACUCCUACGGGAGGCAGCAGUAGGGAAUAUUGGGCAAUGGGCGGAAGCCUGACCCAGCCAUGCCGCGUGCAGGAAGAAGGCGUUAUGCGUUGUAAACUGCUUUUAUAUAGGAAGAAGAAGCCCAUGCGUGGGAAAGUGACGGUACUAUAUGAAUAAGCACCGGCUAACUCCGUGCCAGCAGCCGCGGUAAUACGGAGGGUGCAAGCGUUGUCCGGAUUUAUUGGGUUUAAAGGGUGCGUAGGUGGUUUAUUAAGUCAGUGGUGAAAGACGGUCGCUUAACGAUUGCAGUGCCAUUGAUACUGAUAGACUUGAGUUUUGUUGAGGUAGGCGGAAUUGAUAGUGUAGCGGUGAAAUGCAUAGAUAUUAUCAAGAACUCCAAUUGCGUAGGCAGCU
rnacentral:rRNA from 1 species